AAUGCAAACAAAGCAGAAUCAGCUCCCUGGGAGCUUGUGAAGGCCACGGUCUGUAGCAACAAUGGAAAUAACAGCCCUUCCCAGACAGCGGUGAGGUUGCAACAGGUGGACAGACCAGAUCGAGAUGCCUCCGCACCUGAUCUGGGGACCGGCUGUUUAGCAACCAGCCGUCAUGGUGCUGGGAUAUCUGGACCCCUCAGUGUCUCAGAUCUCAGAUAUUGAAGCCUGCAAAUACUUUGAAGGCC